AUUGAACGCUGGCGGCAGGCCUAACACAUGCAAGUCGAGCGGAUGAAGGGAGCUUGCUCCUGGAUUCAGCGGCGGACGGGUGAGUAAUGCCUAGGAAUCUGCCUGGCCGUGGGGGAUAACGUCCGGAAACGGGCGCUAAUACCGCAUACGUCCUGAUGUAGAAAGUGGGGGAUCUUCGGACCUCACGCUAUCAGAUGAGCCUAGGUCGGAUUAGCUAGUUGGUGAGGUAAAGGCCUACCAAGGCGACGAUCCGUAACUGGUCUGAGAGGAUGAUCAGUCACACUGGAACUGAGACACGGUCCAGACUCCUACGGGAGGCAGCAGUGGGGAAUAUUGGACAAUGGGCGAAAGCCUGAUCCAGCCAUGCCGCGUGUGUGAAGAAGGUCUUCGGAUUGUAAAGCACUUUAAGUUGGGAGGAAGGGCAGUAAGUUAAUACCUUGCUGUUUUGACGGUACCAACAGAAUAAGCACCGGCUAACUUCGUG
rnacentral:rRNA from 1 species